rnacentral:rRNA from 1 species
CUGAUUAUAUUAAAGAGCCGCAGUAUUCUGACUGUGCGAAGGUAGCAUAAUAAAUUGUCUUUUAAAUGGAGGCUUGAAUGAAAGGUUGGACAAAGUAUCAUCUGUUUCUUAAAUAUUUAUUGAAUUUGACUUUCAAGUGAAAAGGCUUGAAUAAAUUAAAAAGACGAUAAGACCCUAUAAAUCUUUACAAUAAACAUGUUCUGUAUUUUAAUUUAUAAGUAUAUAAAAUAUUAAAUUUGUAUUUGUUUCGCUGGGGCGGCGUGGAUAUAUUAAUAAACUGUCUGUGUGUUAAAUCCAAUAAUUAUUGAUUAGUGAGAUUGAUCCUUAAAUAGAUUAAAAGAUUAAGAUACUUUAGGGAUAACAGCGUUAUUUUUUUUGAGAGUUCUUAUCGAAGAAAAAGUUUGCGACCUCGAUGUUGAAUUAAAGUAUCUUUAUGGUGCAGCCGCUAUAAGAGAGAGUCUGUUCGACUUUUAAUACUUUACAUGAUCUGA